UGCUUAUAACUAUUUUGUGAAUAGUGGAGUUCGUACUGCUCGUGGUGUAUCAAACAGUAUCCGUGACAUACAAAACUCACAUUAUGGCUAUUUUUCUCGUGAUACUAAUGGUCAACAUAAAUAUGAAAAAACAAAAAUAAAAAACAAGAAUGUACAUUUUGGAUUACCCAAUAUACAUAAUUAUAAAAAAAAAAAAAGUGGAUCACAUGAUAAUAAACACAGUAAUACAAAAAUAUAAUAAGUUUAUCAGCUAAUGUUGAAAAUGUUAUGGAAGAAAAAAAAAAAAAAAAAAGCAAAGAUGUACCAUAUUUUGUAGAACAUACAGAGCAUAAUGAAGUAGUUAAAAACACUAUUCAUUUAACGAAUGAUAAAUAUAAAAAAAAUAAAACAGAAUUGAAUAUACCAAAUAAUAAUGUUAACACUACUAAUGUUGAUAUGCUUGGUACAUUAAAAUAUGAAAAGUUUCCAAAAAAUGCAAAAAAAAAUAUUCGUUUCAAUGCAAAUAUAUAUGAACAUAGUAAUGAAAUAAAAGGUAGUAUUAAUGAUAGUAUGUCAAAAAAAAAAGUCGAAUGUUCAAUUGUUAAUGAUAGAACACAAAAAGAUAAAGAAACAAAAAAGGAUUUUAUUAGUAGGGGUAGUAAGGGUAGUAGUAGCAGUAGUAGUAGCAGUAGCAGAAGUGGCCCCAGUGGUAGUACCCCCAGUGGUAGUAAUAGCAUUACUAACAAGUUGGAAGAAAAAAGAAGUAAUUUAAUUUAUGUACAAAAUUUAGAAAAAAAACCAGGCUAUUUAUAUAACAUUCGAAAUAGAAAUAAAAGUAGAGAUCAUUUUAGUCAUGAUUUAAUUAACCAGUAUUGUUUAAACCAAAAUGAAACUAAGAUACAACAUCAUAAUAUAAAAAAAAAAAAAAUUACAAAAACAUACCAUGAAGAAAAAAUUAUUAAAUUGUGGAUAGGUACUUGGAAUAUAUGUGGUAGUGAUUUGUAUGAACUUAAUGACAUAUCUUCAUGGAUCAAUCCAAAGGAUGUAUACACAGACAUGUAUGUGUUUUGCUUUCAAGAAGUUGUGGAACUGACAGGGUUUCGAAUACUAAUGAAUAUGAAAGACAAAUUUAAAGAAAAAAAAAUCGAA
rnacentral:lncRNA from 1 species